CCGUACGUUCGGUUGGUAGAAUCUGUAGUUAGGUGGCGGUACGGGUGAGUAACGCGUGAGUAACCUGCCUUUCAGAGGGGGAUAACGUCGGGAAACCGACGCUAAUACCGCAUGACAUAGGGAAUUCGCAUGGAAACCCUAUCAAAGAUUUUAUCGCUGAGAGAUGGACUCGCGUCCGAUUAGGUAGUUGGUGAGGUAACGGCCCACCAAGCCGACGAUCGGUAGCCGGACUGAGAGGUUGAACGGCCACAUUGGGACUGAGACACGGCCCAGACUCCUACGGGAGGCAGCAGUGGGGAAUAUUGCACAAUGGGCGCAAGCCUGAUUGCAGCAACGCCGCGUGAGGGAAGACGGUUUUCGGAUUGUAAACCUCUGUUCUUGGUGAUGAAGAAGUGACGGUAGCCAAGGAGAAAGCCACGGCUAACUACGUGCCAGCCGCAGC
rnacentral:rRNA from 1 species